rnacentral:rRNA from 1 species
GGGUCAGUAGGUUGGUCGUGCCACCGGUACGUACUGGUCUCACUGAUUCCUCCUUCCUGAAGAACCGUAAUGCCAUUAAUUUGGUGUUGCGGGGAAGCAGGACUGUUACUUUGAAAAAAUUGGAGUGUUUAAAGCAAGCUAACGCUUGAAUACAUUAGCAUGGAAUAAUGAAAUAGGACGAUCGAUCCUAUUUUGUUGGUUUCUAGGAUUGACGUA